ACAUUUUUGUAUUUUCCAACUUGCUUUGAACAUACUUGUGUACCAGUGUUAAUUUCGUUAAUGAAAACGAUGACGAAAAAUAUUCGUUAACAAACAUUUUUUUCUGUGACUAAGAUGAGACGUUGACGAGCUAAAAAUAAUAUCUGAUGAUGAAAUUAUGACGAAAUUUAUGCCGCGUCAUCGUUAACUAGAUGAGACUGGACAAUAAUGUUAUUUGAGGACUACUGGACAUUCAAAAUACAUCCUAUAGGGUAUUGUCCUUCAAAAUGUGCGUCCCUGUCAUUGGAUUGCCAUCGGAUAAGGGGAGUUAGCAUAUCUAGUCAGUAUAGCAGCGACAGUGGAUGGAUAGGCUAAUAAAACGCGAACUAGCGAUCUGAAACAAUGGCCUCAGCACCCGAAGGGGUAGGGAUAAGGUAACCAGACCUCCUAUGUUUCCCGGAAGUCACAAUUCGUUGUCGAUUAACUUAAAGUUAGUGAAGGCGGACAGGCGCGCAGAUGGCACUAGGGACGGGGGGGACAUGACCCCCCAGAUUCAUAUUAACCUGGCAGGACCCGUGUAAAUAUCGGAGCAGCUUUCCAGCUGUGGAGAGAAACUCAAGGAGUGGGAAGGGCUCGAAUCGGAUGCCGAGGUUGCUUUGUUUCUUUUUGAUAGGUGAGUAACGUUGAUUUCGCUUUGUUUCACACAACUUAUCCAUGUUGGCUUUUGUUUCAAUAUGCUUAUGUGUCAUCUUCACUUGUUUGCGCAAUCGUCGUUGCCAUGGUUGCGUAUGUCCAUGUGGGGCGAAGAUUUCAAAAUAGGGGCUAGGUAGCACGGUGGCCGAGAGAGCUCAACACGCUGCAACUUCACAAAACACAUUCAAAUAGAAAAAUCACCAGCAAAUUAAGAAAACUUCUUCAUCAUUUUGACAGCACACUUGCUGCAAAUACUCGCAACACAACGAAAUACAAAAACAAGCUUCAAAUGCUCAAAACACAAACAAAUACAGAAACAAGCUGCAAAUACUGAACACAAACAAAAUUACCCCAACAAAACGAAAAUUAACCUUUUUUUUGGCGUAUUGAUUACCAUCUGUAUAACCACAGUUGUACAAAUACCAUGGCUAAUAAUAUCCACACAAAAAAGCAACAACAACAACAAAAAAGCUAAGGAAUCAUAUGAUCAGGAUGUUAAAAUAAACAAAGAUCUUUUCAGAGCAAACAUUGAUAAAUUAUGUCCUAGCCAUAUUUGUCACUUUACGGUUCCCUUAAAUAUUUCAGAUGUGGUCUGUGUUUUUGCAGCACGUUUCUUUAUUUAUUUGUAUUGUGAGUAUUUGCAGCGCGUGUUGUCAAACUGAUGAAGAUGUUUUCUUAAUUUGCAGGUGUUUUAUCAUUUGCAGUGCGUUAAGCUCUCUCGGCCACCGUAGCAGGUCCUGUUGGGGUAUGGAUGUGUUUGUUUUGGUGCUAAAGAAUCGGGUCAGGGCAGACGCAGGCUGAAGCACAAUAAUAAUCUUACCAUUACUUUGUACCCACCUUCUCACUACAGGCUGUUCUGUUGUCAAUAAACACACCUGACGAUGGUGCUGCCA
ensembl:lncRNA